ACUCCUACGGGAGGCAGCAGUGGGGAAUAUUGCACAAUGGGGGAAACCCUGAUGCAGCCAUGCCGCGUGUGUGAAGAAGGCCUUGGGUUGUAAAGCACUUUCAGUAGGGAGGAAGGUAGUGUAGUUAACACCUGCAUUAUUUGACGUUACCUACAGAAGAAGCACCGGCUAACUCCGUGCCUGCAGCCGCGGUAAUACGGAGGGUGCGAGCGUUAAUCGGAAUUACUGGGCGUAAAGCGCAUGCAGGCGGCCUGUUAAGUCAGAUGUGAAAGCCCGGGGCUUAACCUCGGAAUUGCAUUUGAAACUGGCAGGCUAGAGUCUUGUAGAGGGGUUAGAAUUUCAGGUGUAGCGGUGAAAUGCGUAGAGAUCUGAAGG
rnacentral:rRNA from 1 species